AGGGAAGGCCAGCAGGUCUUGUCAUUGUAGGCGCUCUCUCCCCCAGGAGAAAGGAGAAGGGGUGGGUCCCAGCACCUCCAGGUUCUUGAUCCUGGUGGGAAGACUUUUUUUGUGACUCUCAGGGGGUUCUUUGGUGGUGGCUGCUAUGGGGUGGGGUGGUGGGAAGCACAGGGAGGGGGGUCAUGAUGCCAGGCUGGCCCUGUCUGUACCUGCCUUGCAGGGCAACUUUGGGAAGUCACCAUUCUGCCAUGGGCCUCUGCUCCCCACUAACCCCGUAGACCUCUUCUGUGGGAGUGGGGUGAGAUGGGGCUGGUGGUGGCCCCAAGCAGUCAGGGCGCCCAUCCCAGAGGCAAGGGAAGUUCACAAGUGCAGGGGCUGCAUGGCCUGAGGGUCAGGGAGAAGAAGCCAUCCAUCCCAUUGUCUCUGUUAGUGUGAGGGUAGUUGCUGCCUCCUUUGUGAACUUGGAUCACCGUGAUUGUGAAUAAAGGUGAUUUCGUACCAGCC
rnacentral:lncRNA from 1 species